GCUGGGUGCUGUGGCUCAUGCCUGUAAUCCCAGCAGCUCUGAAGGCUGAGACAGGAGAAUCACAAGUUCAAAGCCAGCUCAGCAAAAAGUGAGACAGUAAGCAACUCAGUGAGACCCUGUCUCUA
rnacentral:sRNA from 1 species